rnacentral:lncRNA from 1 species
AGGAGAACUCUAUGGCUGCCAUUUCAUAUGUGCUCUUAGCUGGAAUUUACUAGCAAAAACUAAUCUGUGUUAAAAUUAAGUGUUAUUUUUGACUGGUCGGGUUUUUUUCUGCAUUUGUUACCCAGUUCAUUUUUCCUUGUUGCUGUACAAAUGCUUUUGUUUGGAUGUGAAAUGGGUUGGUGAAGGACAGGAAGAAGCAGCUGUCAAGCAGGACUACUUUUUGUGAGGGUAGUGCUGCCUUAAAUUGCAUGUUAAUUUACAGUCAUUUCUUACUGAUGUUGUUGUAACAGAGUCAACCACUGGAGCAGAGAAGAGGGCUAGACUCUUUUUCUUAAACUGCCAUCAUGCAGCCUCUCCUGUGUGACAGCAAAGAACAGCAAGGACAAGGGCUGUAUGCUGGGAAACUUUGGAGUGUAAGAUUCCCUUAGACACACUGGCCUCCAGGUGGGGAAAGAGGUUUUACAUAACAUGAAGUUGACUCACUCCCUCCAGCCUUCUAUAUGACAUCCUUCCUAGAGGCCACAGAAUAUUUUGGGAAUAGAAAUUUGACAUGAUGGACUCAAAGCUUCAGUCCCAGAUUUACAGCAACAUGGUGUGCUGUUGAUUUUUCACAAAGAAGUCACCAGAAACAUAGCUCCGAGAAGCUUUUGCUCUGAAAGAAAUGACGUGAUUGCAGUUCAGAAGCUAAGGAAGCUGCCAAAAAACAUAAGUUCUUCUCACGAGGUGGAAAACCAGUGGGAAGAGUUCAAUACAUUAUUUGAAGAAGGAAUGGAAUUGAAAGUAUUCCUAGAACAUGGGACAUAUACACAGCCAAAUGGGAGAGCUGUAGUUCUGUCUACAGUCAACAGAGUAAUGAAGAAAGAUGUCUAUGAGUGCAAAAUACCACCUAUGAUAUGAACACUUAUAUUUCCUGAAAUGGAAAUGGAACAGAGAAAUAGCCAGUUUCACUGAGCCCUGAAGGCUGUACAUGCCAUAGCUUUGUUAAGAAAAUGUCGGUUUAGGCCUUUUUUUUUUAAGAAAAGGUAAGAGGAAAUACUAGGAAGUGUUUGUAUUAUUCCUUCAGCCAUAAGUGCUUGUAUGUGGAGAGAGUGUAUGCUAAUGGAAGCAUGUAUGGAAACU